AUUGGCCAAGGGAAAUCAUGUGGCCACACCUUCCUUCGAAAGCGCAGCGCGGGCCGCCCAGCGCUCCUGGACCGGGUGGUGGUGAGGGCGCCAGCGUCUGCCCACAUGCCUGCCCUGCCUGUUCAGCCUGGUGGGAAUCCCCGUCCAGGAGUGCAAGCCGGUGGGAACCAACUGCCUGCUUGAUUUACUUCAUCCUUGAAGUGCUGCCCCAUGGGAAAAGAUGGCCGAGCAUCCUGAGCGGGACACUGUCUUCAUCACGUCUAUUGACCGAAGGUCCCUCGGCCUGCCUUCCAUCCUCGGGGCUGAAGAGAAGAUCUCAGGGCGGGACCAAUCCCACGUCUCGCCAGCCUCCCUGCGUCCCAACCGGAGCCAAAGCAACGUCCCAGGGCCGGAACCGCCCCCUGCCCUCCGGCCUCUGCCGCCCCGGGCCGCCUCGGGUCCCCAGGACUCAUCGCAUUGCACUCUUUAUCCCUGUGUCAGGGCCGCAAGCAGCCCCGUCAGGCUCCGCGCAUCCCUGGCUCCGUCUCCGCCUUGGAUCACAAGACCCCGCGCUCGGCCCUCGGGAUCCACAUCCUCGGCAGCAGGAUCUCCAUCC
rnacentral:lncRNA from 1 species